AGAAUGCUAGUGGAUGUGGAUGCAAGAGGGGUAGGUGGAUGGUGGUGGGUGUGGUUGCAAGGGGGGAAGGUAGGCCGAGGUUGGGUGUGAGGAUGCAAGGGAAAGGGGGAGGAGGGAGCCUGUUGGAUGUGAUGGAAAGGGGAACAUCUGGAUGGUAAGGGAAAGGGGGUUGGUGGAUGUGGAUUCAAGGGCGUGGGGUAAUGGGUGGAGGGAGGCUGAUGGAUGCGAUUGGAAGGAGAGCAUCUGGGUGGCGACGGAUGUGAAGGAGGAGGAGCAAUCUCGUGUUUUAUCGGUGUACAGGACGCGGACGGCUGCUGACUGGUUGGCUGCCGGUGAAGAACGUCAAGAUAGAUGAUAAUUGUGAUGACAGGCUGGUGGUGUUUUGUGAGGAUUUGUGUUGUAAAGAUAGUAAAGAAGUAAAGUGAAGAAAGUAGCUAAAUUAAGUAAAGAUAGAUAUGAUUUCAAUCUUAUGGUGUGGUGUGUGGAUGAGUGGAGUAAUAAAACAAAUAAAAGAAGUAAAUCAAAGUAAAGUAAAAAGAUAUAUAAGUAAAUUAAAGAAAGACAAGUUAGGAAAGUAAGGAGAAGGAGUAAAAUGAAAGUAAGGAAAACAACAGAUUAUAAACAAAUGUAGUAAAGAAUAUUAUGAAAACUAGUUAAAGAAUGACGUAUGGAAAUGAGUGAAGAAAAGAAAGAUAUGAGAACAAGCUUGAAGGGUGUAUGAGUGUAGUAAAGAGUUAUAUGAGGACAAACUAUAAAGAGCUGUGUGUAGAUACGAAUGUAGGGAACCCCCGCCGAUAGGAUGUAACCUCCUUGUUGGCAUUCCCGAGUCGAGAUAACUAAAUACGGAUGUCAACAGAUGUUUAAAGGGCAAAGGAUUACAUAAUAUAAAAGUAGAUAUGUAUAUAGUAAAUCAGUAGUAAAUCAAUAGAUAUGGGUAUAGUAAAUCAGUUUGGAAAGUUAGGUGUAUAGAUAGUAAUUGAUAUGGGCAUUGUAAAUCAGUUUGAAAAGUCAGGUGUAUAGAUUGUUGAUAUUGGCAUAGUAAAUCAGUUUGAAAAGUCAGGUGUAUAGAUUGUUGAUAUUGGCAUAGGAAAUCAGUUUGAAAAGUCAGGUGUAUAGAUUGUUGAUAUUGGCAUAGGAAAUCAGUUUGAAAAGUCAGGUGUAUAGAUAGUUGAUAUGGGUAUAGUAAAUCAGUUUGAAAAGUCAGGUGUAUAGAUAGUUGAUAUGGGCAUAGUAAAUCAGUUUGAAAAGUCAGGUGUAUAGAUUGUUGAUAUUGGCAUAGUAAAUCAGUUUGAAAAGUCAGGUGUAUAGAUUGUUGAUAUUGGCAUAGGAAAUCAGUUUGAAAAGUCAGGUGUAUAGAUUGUUGAUAUUGGCAUAGUAAAUCAGUUUGAAAAGUCAGGUGUAUAGAUAGUUGAUAUGGGUAUAGUAAAUCAGUUUGAAAAGUCAGGUGUAUAGAUUGUUGAUAUUGGCAUAGUAAAUCAGUUUGAAAAGUCAGGUGUAUAGAUUGUUGAUAUGAGCAUAGUAAAUCAGUUUGAAAAGUCAGGUGUAUAGAUUGUUGAUAUGAGCAUAGUAAAUCAGUUUGAAAAGUCAGGUGUAUAGAUAGUUGAUAUUGGUAUAGUAAAUCAGUUUGAAAAGUCAGGUGUAUAGAUAGUUGAUAUUGGUAUAGUAAAUCAGUUUGAAAAGUCAGGUGUAUAGAUAGUUGAUAUUGGUAUAGUAAAUCAGUUUGAAAAGUCAGGUGUAUAGAUAGUUGAUAUGGGUAUAGUAAAUCAAUUUGAAAAGUCAGGUGUAUAGAUAGUUG